GCGUCUGUAGCCUAGUUGGUAAAGGCAGCACUCUAGUAUGUGUCUCAGCAUAGCUGAGGUCAUGAGUUCGACUUUCACCAGACACA
rnacentral:tRNA from 1 species